rnacentral:rRNA from 1 species
GAUGAACGCUGGCGGCGUGCCUAAUACAUGCAAGUCGAGCGAACAGACGAGGAGCUUGCUCCUCUGACGUUAGCGGCGGACGGGUGAGUAACACGUGGAUAACCUACCUAUAAGACUGGGAUAACUUCGGGAAACCGGAGCUAAUACCGGAUAAUAUAUUGAACCGCAUGGUUCAAUAGUGAAAGACGGUUUUGCGGUCACGUAUAGCUGGAUCCGCGCCGCAUUAGCUAGUUGGUAAGGUAACGGCUUACCAAGGCAACGAGGCGUAGCCGACCUGUGAGGGUGAUCGGCCACACUGGAAGUGAGACGGGCUCCAGACUCCUACGAGAGGCAGCAGAAGGGAAUCGUCCGCAAUGGGCGAAAACCUGACGGAGCAACGCCGCGUGAGUGAUGAAGGUCUUCGGAUCGUAAAACUCUGUUAUGAGGGAAGAACAAAUGUGGAAGUAACUAUGCACGGCUUGACGGUACCGAAUAAGAAAGCAACGGCUAACUACGUG